CGCUUGUGACGUCAUCGUCCACAUGCUUUCUAAUCUCUCAUCCUUUAAAAAUGCACAAAUGAUCUUGUGCAAGGUUGGUUAACAAAGAACAACAACAAUGGCUAAAACCACCAGAGGAUCUUGUUUUGUCGUCGUCGCUCUUUUAGCGAUCACCCAUCUAUGUAUCUGUGCAGCUCUCUUGUCUCAGAAAGAACAAGACAAGGUCUCGAAACUGCCUGGUCAGAACUUCAACGUUGACUUCACUCACUACUCUGGUUUCGUUACUACUAAUGAGAAACUGGGAAGAGCACUCUUCUACUGGUUCUUUGAAGCCACCGAUGAUGCUGCCUCCAAGCCCCUUGUUCUCUGGCUCAAUGGAGGACCUGGAUGUUCAUCUGUUGCAUUUGGUGAAGCAGAAGAGAUAGGACCUUUUCACAUUAAGUCAGAUGGGAAGACUCUUUACCUUAACCAAUAUUCUUGGAACCAAGCUGCGAAUAUUUUGUUCCUUGAUGCACCUGUUGGAGUUGGCUACUCAUACUCAAACACUUCAUCUGAUUUGCGUAGCAAUGGUGAUAAGAGAACUGCUCAAGACUCACUGAAGUUUCUGCUGAAAUGGGUUGAGCGUUAUCCGGAGUAUAAAGGAAGAGAGUUUUACAUAGUUGGGGAGAGCUAUGCAGGACAUUACGUUCCUCAGCUGAGUCAAGCCAUUGUAAGACAUAACAAAGCUUCUGGCGACAACACUAUUAAUCUGAAGGGCUACAUGGUAGGUAAUGGUCUGAUGGAUGAUUUCCAUGACAGGCUUGGUCUUUUCCAGUAUAUUUGGUCGUUGGGUUUUAUAUCCGACCAAACAUAUAGCUUACUGAAGCUUCAGUGUGGUUUUGAAUCUUUUAUUCAUUCCUCCAAAGCGUGUGAUAAGAUUCAGGAGACAGCCGACAAGGAAAUAGGUAACAUAGACCAAUACAGUGUCUUCACACCAGCAUGUAUUGCGAAUGCUUCCCAGUCAAACAUGUUGCUAAAGAAAAGACCAAGGACUAGCCGUGUGAGUGAACAGUAUGAUCCUUGCACGGAGAAACACUCUAAAGUGUAUUUCAAUCUUCCAGAGGUUCAAGAAGCUCUCCAUGUCCCGCCAGGACUUGCACCAUCCAAAUGGGAUACUUGCAGUGAUGUAGUGAAUGAAAACUGGAAAGACUCUUCUUCCUCGGUUCUAAACAUUUACCAUGAGCUUAUAGCUGCUGGUCUACGCAUUUGGGUUUUCAGUGGUGACGCAGAUGCUGUUGUACCAGUAACAGCAACCCGGUACAGCAUUGAUGCACUAAACCUUCGUCCAUUGAGUCCUUACGGUCCUUGGUACAUAGACGGACAGGUGGGAGGGUGGACUCAGCAGUAUGCUGGUCUAAACUUUGUGACAGUGAGAGGAGCAGGACAUGAAGUUCCUUUGCAUAGACCAAAGGAGGGUCUUGCGCUCUUCAAGGCUUUUAUAUCUGGAACCCCAUUGUCCACACCAGAGAGCAGCAUCAGCAAAGACAUGUCUGAACUCGUUAGUGACUCAUGAUGAGUGGGAUUCUCAGUCAGAAUGAAGAAGAAUGAUAGAAUCUAACACUACUAAAAGCCGAAUAAGAAGAGCAACGAGCGUGCCACGUAGGAUUUUUUAUUCAGGCCAAUCAUGAAGCUCUGUUUUGCCACGUCACUUUUAUUUUGUCGACAAAAAAUUUAAAAGGUCCAGUAAAUCUGGGCUGAACAAAAAAAAAUAGACCUAUAUAGAACAGCCCAUAUCUUAUUCUACGCAGAAUGUUCGUCGCCUUCAACUCCGACUCUUCCAAUUCACUAUUCUAAUCUCUGCAAUCUCUCUGUAAUUAUUACACCCCAAUCUUGCUCAUUCAAUUCUGAUAUUUUCUCCUAUCUUCAUUAGAGAUUAUCGUUCCACCUUCCUUUGUUUUUCCUGUUAUAUAAACCCCUUGAUGAUAUGAUAAGACAGGUCCGUUAACUAUUGUCAUUCCAGCCUGAGUUAUCUAAAAUAUGAACCCUCGAUUCCAGAUUCAUAACACAAUGACAAUUUGUUGUUCUCUACAUUUGAAAGUCAGUCGUAGAACUCGGCCUCACGCUGGUGCUGAUCGUCUUCUCCGUCGUCGUUUUAGAAGCUUGGAGAAGGAGACACAGUAACGUUUCUGUCGACACCGUGACAACUACACUCGAGGGUCCUACAUCUUAAAAACAGGUACUGUCUGAAUUCAAUAUAUUUUUUCUGGGAUUUUUCUGUUAGUGUGUUUACAGUUAAUGGAACUGAGAAAAGGUCUUGCCUUUGAAUCCUAUUAGCCUAUAGAACGUUUAAAGACGAGAGCUUUGACAUUAUUAUUAUUAUUAGUAUUUGUAGGAGAGUUUGUCUAACGAUGUGUGUUGUUUAAGAAAUAAAAGAGUAAAACAGACAGAUCGUGGAUGCGCAGUUGUAUGAUAAUAAUUUCAAGAGAGGAGCAAGCAAAAAGCUUCACUUGAGAAGGAAAUUCAUCAUACUGUCGGUAGAAAGAUAAGAAGAAAAGUUGAUGACGAGAUCAACAACAGAUUGAGUUUGGGAACACUUUUCUUCCAGCCUAACUUCCUGGUUACGGUUGAGCAGAUUCUUGAAGAUGCUCCCAAAGUCUUAGAUCUGCGAUUGGCUACUUUAUGAAAUCCAUUGAAGGGACAUGCUGGAUUAUCUAAUGAUGAUAAAGACGAAAACGGAAGGACUCUAGAGGUACAUGAAAUUAUCGAUACCUUUUUGAUGUAUCUUAAUACGGGUCAUGAAUCCUCUGGACACACGCAUUAUUUGGGCUACCUCCUCAGAUACUACAGAAGAUAAAUGUAAAAUAAUAAUAUAUGUUUAUAUAAUCCUUUUCCAUUUA